GACGAACUGUGCAAACGUUAUUCGGAAUCACUGGGCUUGAAGAGCGCGCAGGCGGUCGUUCAAGUCGCGUGUGAAAGCCCCCGGCUCAACUGGGGAGGGUCACGCGAUACUGAUCGACUCGAAGGCAGGAGAGGGAAGUGGAAUUCCCGGUGUAGUGGUGAAAUGCGUAGAUAUCGGGAGGAACACCAGUGGCGAAGGCGACUUCCUGGCCUGUUCUUGACGCUGAGGCGCGAAAGCUAGGGGAGCAAGCGGG
rnacentral:rRNA from 1 species